rnacentral:pre_miRNA from 1 species
CCUUAACUAGAAUGAUACGGUUCCAGUCAGACCGGAGGGGAAAGACGCUAAUACAGGUUCGCAACC